rnacentral:misc_RNA from 1 species
UCCCCGUUACCGGGGCAGUCUGGCUAGAAAAAUACAACUAACCAUAAGGGUUGCGCUCGUUGAUGGACUUAACCAAACAUCUCACGACACGAGCUGACGACGGCCAUGCAUCACCUGUCUUUAGGUUCUAAAAGCACUCACUACUUUCGUAGUAAUUCCUAAGAUGUCAAACCCUGGUAAGGUUCUUCGCUUACCAUCGAAUUAAACAACACGCUCCACCGCUUGUGCGGGUCCCCGUCAAUUCCUUUAUGUUUUAGUCUUGCGACCGUACUCCACAGGCGGGAUGCUUAACGCGUUAGCUUUACUACCGAAGGGGUCGAUACCUCCAACAGUUAGCAUCCAUCGUUUACGGCGUGGACUAC